CCUACGGGUGGCAGCAGUGAGGAAUAUUGGUCAAUGGCCGAGAGGCUGAACCAGCCAAGUCGCGUGAGGGAAGACGGCCCUACGGGUUGUAAACCUCUUUUGUCUGGGAGUAAAGCGAACCACGUGUGGUUCAUUGAGAGUACCCGAAGAAAAAGCAUCGGCUAACUCCGUGCCAGCAGCCGCGGUAAUACGGGGGAUGCGAGCGUUAUCCGGAUUUAUUGGGUUUAAAGGGUGCGCAGGCGGAGGUGCAAGUCAGCGGUAAAAUUGUGGGGCUCAACCCCGUACUGCAGUUGAAACUGCAUCCCUUGAGUGCGCGAGAAGUAGGCGGAAUGCGUGGUGUAGCGGUGAAAUGCAUAGAUAUCACGCAGAACUCCGAUUGCGAAGGCAGCAUACCGGCGCGCAACUGACGCUCAGGCACGAAAGCGUGGGUAUCGAACAGGAUUAGAUACCCCUGUAGUC
rnacentral:rRNA from 1 species